rnacentral:tRNA from 1 species
CACCCCUUAGUUUAACUGGAUAAAACGAGGACCUCCUAAGUCUUUGAUACAGGUUCAAGUCCUGUAGGGGUGG